UGCCACAGCUCGCAACAUAAAUAUCGAUAACUCCACUGUCUCACGAUAACAAACAAGCGGUCAUCACUAAGAACAAAAACGCAAGGAAAGCCAAGCGCUCCCACCCAACCAUGGAUGCCCUCAAGAUGUUGCAGGGCACCACCCAUUCUCAGUCGGCAGGAGCCCCCUCCUCGCGACUACGGCGGUUCCAUCUCCCCCACUGGAAAAGCUUACUCAAACAUAGUGGGUUUUACAAAGGUUUAAUAAAUAUCCCUUUAAGACCGAAACCUGGCCUCCGUCUCAAAUAUUUACGCGGUCAAAGCAGAGGAUUUGUUUUGCUGGAAAAGGGUACAGGCGCCGCGGAAAUUAUGCUCUACCAGCCAUGUAUUGCUAGAGCUCGCAUGGAAACGCGGCCCGCAAAGGAACAUGCGCGAAGCGCGUGUGUAUGGUCACCUAAUCCUGAGGAGCUCCAGGGGAAAAGAAGGGACAGGCCAAAAAGGCAAACAACGAGGACAAAUAAGGCUCUCGGGUCUAACUCCGGAUAAAUUCACAAACAGGGAAGUAAAUAUCAAUAUAUAUAUAUAACCAAGGUACACGUGUAUUUAAUUUUUCCUAAACUUCAGCUACUAUUGGGCCGGGCCUGGAGGCGAUGGUAGCCCGGGCUAAGGACUUCCCGCCGGAGGCCAGCAGCGAUACAGGUCUCCAAGAAGGAAAACUGGCGCUCUCCGGUGAGUUAUGGCGAUACUUCUCAGCGCCGCGAUGCGACGGCUGGAAUUUCCCGGAACGGAAUCACCGGGAAAUAUCUGAUGUCGUCGCCGUCGACUGUGAAAGGCUUUUGUGGCAGGUCGUUGGUACGGGUCGAACGGACACCGGUUGCUGGGCAGCCAAGUCGGGGUGGUAGGUAUGGCGAAGUCGCGCAGACAUCAGUGAACUCCCAAAUAAAUAUUCCGGGGCCCUUUGUGUUGGGACCCCGGCUGCUAUUUAAUUUUAA